GGUUGACCUUUGGAGUCAGUGUGGGGAGGUCAGAGAAUGACCGAUUUGGGUUUUAGCCUACUGAUCACUGAGAGCAAGCCCAUGAACAUGCUAAGCGGGAUUAAAUUUAUCAAUGUUGGGACAGCUCUGUGGAGUAGCUGGAGCCAUCCCUGCGUUUGCCGCCGGGGUUAGGUGCAGUGCGAGUGGAAGGAAGACCUUCAUCCUGGAGGAUGCUCUGCUUGGCCUGGAUGCUGCCCAUCAGAAGCCUCAGCAAGACUGUUUUCAGCAGAAAUUCCCCAGGUUUGAUGACAUCAUUCUGCUCGCUGUCCCAGUACUGAGCAUCCUGGAAGCCUCUUUUCCUCCUGCGGUCUGGCAGAGAAUGGUGGCAUCACCCCAGAGCUAGGAUUU
ensembl:processed_transcript Hectd2, opposite strand